rnacentral:rRNA from 1 species
GACGAACGCUGGCGGCGUGCUUAACACAUGCAAGUCGAACGAAGUGGCGAACGGGUGAGUAACGCGUAAUCAACCUGCCCUUCAGAGGGGGACAACAGUUGGAAACGACUGCUAAUACCGCAUACUGUAUGUGGGGAUUUCGUCUGAUUAGCUAGUUGGAGGGGUAACGGCCCACCAAGGCGAUGAUCAGUAGCAGGUGUGAUAGGAUGAACGGCCACAGUGGGACUGAUACACGGCCCAGAAUCCGACGGGAGGCAGCAGUGGGGAAUCUGCCGCAAUGGACGAAAGUCUGACGGAGAAACGCCGCGUGAGUGAUGACGGCCUUCGGGUUGUAAAGCUCUGUUAAGCGGGACGAGGUAAGGGAAGAGAAAGCCACGGCUAACUACGUGCCAGCAGCCGCGGUAAUUG